UAAACUCCUGUCAUUAGAGAACAAAACCCACUUAGUAACUGAUGUUGGGUUUGAUAGUAUCUGAAGAGGAAGAGACGGCUAACUCUGUGC
rnacentral:rRNA from 1 species